rnacentral:sRNA from 1 species
UUGUUCUUGGUUGUGACAGGGCAACAAGCAAGGCUAGCGAGGCUGCCCGCAGGGAGAUGGACGGCAUUGCAGCUUCCAUCAAGGAUCAAAGAAAAGCAGUCCCCA